AUGCAGUUGGUCAAGAAUUACAUGCCUGUGAACGGACAAUUAUUUUGUAACUUUUUCUUCCUUUUUUUUGAAAUCAUCCCUUUCCUUGAAUUUCCAAUUUCACCAAGUUUAACCAAAAUUAUGUUUGUUUUCCUCCGUUAUUUAAAUGCUCCUGUGGUAUGUGAGGUGAUUAUGUGAUUAUGUACGAAAGACAAUCUUCUUCAAGACUUUCAGUCACUAUGAGGUACAAAAACUAGUAUAUUUACAAUAAAAAAAAAAUUAACAAAAGACUUGUUUCAUAAAGUUUUUACUUGGACACUGCUAGGAAAAAAAAUAAGAUAAAUAUACUAGUGCAAGAGUGAUGCAGCCUUCUUUGCACGCCACAAAUCUUUUUCUAUCCACAGUAUGUUUAUAUAUGUUUAUAUAUAUAUAUAUAUAUUAGGGCUGUCAAAUGAUUAAUCACGAUUAAUCACAUCCAAAAUAAGUUUUGUUUACAUAAUAUAUGUGUGGAUACUGUGUAUAUUUAUUAUGUAUAUAUAAAUACACACACAUGCAUGUAUAUAUUUUGCUGUAGGAACUAUUAUGUAUUGACACGCGCGGUAUCCGGACUGUAAACACAGACGGACCAGAAACGGUCCCUUCAAGUUAACCCUCCGGUAUUGCACCUUGUCAAGAAGCGUAAAUAAGACAAAAAUUUAGCCAUCAAAUGUGCUUUACAAUACCUGAGAGAAGUCCACUAUAGAUAUGAACAAUGGUACUGUGAAAUUAAUUUGAAAUAAUUGGACAGUUGUGCGUUGUAAACUCGGAAGUAGUUGAAGUUUGCGCUUGUGCCUCGCACACUGUCUCUGGUUCAAGAUGUCCCACGAGCGAGAUGAGACCCAAACUUUAAUAACCAAGAGCUCAAGCUGUUUGUUCAAAACAAUCAAUAGUUUUAGUACAGGAUGAUUUUCAUUACUUUUGGCAUUAUGGAAAUGAGAAUUAGGAACUGAAAUGGAUGCAGAAAUUCUUAAAUGUUAACAGGCUUAAUUUUCUUUUUGCAUAUCAUUUCUUUUAUGGCUAAUAAUAAUAAUAUGAUAGGCUAGCUGAAACUCAGCUACAUCAGCUAUGACAUUUUUUAAACAGGAAUUAUUAACAGAAUACUGUUCCAGUUAAUAAAAAUAAUGCUAAUUUCAUAAUUUUACAUUAUAAUUCUAUCGAUACAGGUUUACAAUUAUUAUUUCUGUUAAUAAUU
rnacentral:lncRNA from 1 species